UACAGAGGGUGCGAGCGUUAAUCGGAAUUACUGGGCGUAAAGCGUGCGUAGACGGUUAUUUAAGUCGGGUGUGAAAGCCCCGGGCUCAACCUGGGAAUUGCAUUCGAUACUGGAUAGCUAGAGUUCGGCAGAGGGAAGCGGAAUUUCCGGUGUAGCGGUGAAAUGCGUAGAUAUCGGAAGGAACAUCAGUGGCGAAAGCGGCUUCCUGGACCAGAACUGACGAUCAGGCACGAAAGCGUGGGGAGCGAACAGG
rnacentral:rRNA from 1 species